AUUGAACGCUGGCGGCAGGCUUAACACAUGCAAGUCGAGCGGGGGAAGGUAGCUUGCUACCGGACCUAGCGGCGGACGGGUGAGUAAUGCUUAGGAAUCUGCCUAUUAGUGGGGGACAACAUCACGAAAGGGAUGCUAAUACCGCAUACGUCCUACGGGAGAAAGCAGGGGUCUUCGGACCUUGCGCUAAUAGAUGAGCCUAAGUCGGAUUAGCUAGUUGGGGGGGUAAAGGCCUACCAAGGCGACGAUCUGUAGCGGGUCUGAGAGGAUGAUCCGCCACACUGGGACUGAGACACGGCCCAGACUCCUACGGGAGGCAGCAGUGGGGAAUAUUGGACAAUGGGGGGAACCCUGAUCCAGCCAUGCCGCGUGUGUGAAGAAGGCCUUAUGGUUGUAAAGCACUUUAAGCGAGGAGGAGGCUACUCUAGUUAAUACCUAGGGAUAGUGGACGUUACUCGCAGAAUAAGCACCGGCUAACUCUGUGCCAGCCGCCGCCGUAA
rnacentral:rRNA from 1 species